UGCGUAGGCGGAAUAUUAAGUCAGUGGUGAAAUCCUGCGGCUCAACCGUAGAACUGCCAUUGAUACUGAUAUUCUUGAAUGUAGUUGAGGUAGGCGGAAUGUGUAAUGUAGCGGUGAAAUGCUUAGAUAUUACACAGAACACCGAUUGCGAAGGCAGCUCACUAAGCUAUAACUGACGCUGAGGCACGAAAGCGUGGGGAGCGAACAGGAUUAGAUACCCUGGUAGUCC
rnacentral:rRNA from 1 species